rnacentral:rRNA from 1 species
GAUGAACGCUGGCGGCGUGCCUAAUACAUGCAAGUCGAGCGAACGGACGAGAAGCUUGCUUCUCUGAUGUUAGCGGCGGACGGGUGAGUCACACGUGGAUAACCUACCUAUUAGACUGGGAUAACUUCGGGAGACCCGAGCUAAUACCGGAUACUAUUUUGAACCGCAUGGUUCAAAAGUGAAAGACGGUCUUGCUGUCACUUAUAGCUGGAUCCGCGCUGCAUUAGCUAGUUGGUAAGGUAACGGCUUCCCAAGGCAACGAUGCAUAGCCGACCUGAGAGGGUGAAGGGCCACAGUGGAACUGAGCGACGGUCCAGACACCUAGGGGAGGCAGCGGUAGGGAAUCGUCCGAGAUGGGCGAAAGCCUGAAGGAGCAACGCCGCGGGGGUGAUGAAGGGCUUCGGAUCGUAAAACUCUGUUAGUAGGGAAGAACAUAUGUGUAAGUAACUGUGCACAUCUUGACGGUACCUAAUCAGAAAGCCACGGCUAACUACGUG